rnacentral:sRNA from 1 species
GUUACAAUAUAAUAAUAUUAUCAACUUAAUGUUUAGAUAGAUCGAUGGAAUUUUCUCGAUGUUGAUAAAUCGGUACAGACGCCAAGCCACAACACAUAGAUACCUAUUUACCACAUUAUUUAAUUGUUGGCGGUUCCUUCACGGAAAACGGAAAAUUUUUUGAUCCCAUCUGGAAACACAUCAAAUAUGCGGAAACACAUCAAAUAUGCAAGAGCAUUUAAAGCGUGCACAUCCUCUCAAAAUCGUUGAACAAAAAUCGCAGAGAAUUGAUAAAUUUAUCGAGCGAACGGAUUUAUAUGAACCCUCGUCAUCCAGAAAGGCGUACCUAAACGGCCAGGAAAUGGUUGCAAGCGACUUGCACCUCAAAAUACAAGCCCACUGGAUUAUUGGAAGAUUACCUCCAUUCAAUUCGAAUCAUUUGCAAAAUGUGCAA